CGUCUAAAUCUAAUCAGUAAUCAAGUUUCAACUGUGACAGAAACUUUGUUCGUGCACUACUAAAACAUUUUUAGCUAACAUUUUUAGAUUUUCAUCAACCAAAAUGGCAAACGAAGAAGAACCGCAACAAAAACUAAUCAUUACGGAUUCUUCGAAAAUUUCCGAAGAUAUGGCACCUUAUUACUUGAAGGAAACAUUUUCCGACAUUCAGAUAAUCCUAUCCGAUAAGACAAUUCAUGCGCACAAAAUUGUUCUCGCUGCUAGAUGCAAAUAUUUUGAGUCCCUUUUAAUGCAAGAUCCAAAACAAGCCCAGAUUGAAUUAAUGAAUGCACCUUCCAAAGCCUUUGAAACAAUACUGUAUUACAUUUAUACAGGAACCGUUGUCAUGGCGUCACUAGAUGAGAAUUAUGUGUCCGAUAUAUUGAAGCUAGCAAACGAAUAUUCGUUAAAAACACUGGUACAAAGUAUAAACGAAAAAAUGGUUUCGAUUGUAGAUUUGACGAACGUUUGUUUCUUUCUAAAUAUAGCUAACGCACAUGACAUGGACGAGUUAAGAAAAACGUGUCAUACUCUUAUCGAUGAAUAUGUUUCGCAAACGUUAGAAUAUGGUUUUUUAAAUGUCCUCACACAAAAAUCAAUGGUUAACGUGUUGAAAAGAGAUGCGUUUCUUGAACAAGAAAUCGAUGUUUUUAAUAUAGCGGCAAACUGGUGCAAAAUUAACAAAGACGUGGACAACUUGGUCAUCGGAUGCGUUCGAUUUCCUUGCUUAACGCGAAACGAAAUCUUGAAUGUUGUUCGGCCAUCCAAAAUUGUAGAUGAGACAAAACUCCUGAAUAUUCUUACAACGAUUGAAAAUAACGGUACACAAGAAACACUACGCUGUGGUGGACAGUUAAAAGAUAAGAAUCUUGCUAGAGCAGAAUAUAAUGUUAAAGUAAUUUCUGGAUUAAAUACUACAAUGUUGUUUGAAGAAUCUAGAAAUUCGUAUGACGGCGCUUAUCACAAUAUGAAUGAUCAAAACGGUAUCACUGUGGAUCUUGGUCGAGUAAAAUGGUUCAAUUACAUUACAAUGUGUACAGUCAACAAUUACCAUACCGGCUAUUACAUUGAGGUGUCAAUAGAUUUACAAAAAUGGAAAAAAGUUAUAGAUUACACCAUAUACAUUUGUUAUUCUAGACAAACUUGUAUUAUGAACAACAAAAGGCUAGAUACAUUCGACUAGUAACGACCAUGGGUGAAACAGUCAGAAUUUGUAAGUUUCAAGUUUUCAUGAGCAGUACAGUUCCUAAAAUGCGUAACCAAAUUGUUUAUCCUUCUUCCAAUGUUAUAACUUCCGAAAACAACAUAUUUAUCUGGUCUGAUGAUGGUAUUAAUUAAUUAAAGUCCCGAGCCAUAUGUAGCCAGUCAAUAAAAAUAAAAAGUUCGGAAGAUAAUCUCGACUCUCAUCAUAUUUUAUAUCAUACGUUAAGAGAAAUGAAUCUUAACAAAAUUUCAUACAUUUUAAUGGGAUAAGUCAAAUUUAUUCCAAUAUUAUAGACAAAAACAGUUUUCAAUUCUUUUU